AUGAAGCAUAGAUUAUCAUGCAAAGCUGAUGAUAUUGAUAGUAUUGAAGAAGUUAUAGAUAUACAAAGAGAUCUAGAAAGAUAUCAGAAAGAUACCCUAAGAAAAAUAAAGCCACAACAAGUAUAUCACAUGGGUAUGUUUGAAAGUAAGAGUGGUCUAUACAGAAUAUCUCGAGAAGUAGAAUUAAGCGUGUUAACACAUCCAGUAGAUUUAAGAAUUGUAAGCAAAAAUAUUGAAAAUGAAUUAAAAUAUUGUGGUUACAAAUAUAUUCAUCAAGAAAAAAUGAGUUUUAGUUUCCAAACUAAAGGUUAUGAAGAUUUUAAAGGAACAAAUUUGCUAGUAAGUUUAGAAUUUAUAGGAAGGCUCACUAAUAGAAGUAGCUCCAGAUAUAGAGUGAAUGUGAAUGACGUAAUUGAUAGUAUGCAAUCAAAAGGUAUUAAAUUUAUGAAUCCUCUUAAAAUUGGCUCUGAAGAAAGAGCAGGAGAAGAAUGGAAGAUAGGAGAAUUAAUAGAGAAAAAAGAAUUAAAGCAACCUGAAAACUACAUAAGCUAUCAAAAUUGUGAAGGAAGUAGCAGUAUUCGAUUUAUGAACUAUAAAGCUCCAUCAAUAGAAGACUCUGAAUCAUUUAUGUCAGAAUCGGAAAUUAAUGAUGAUAAGAAUAAAGGUAUAUCUGAAUGUAUGGAAAAGGCUAAUUUAGAUGAUGAAAUAAUUCAUUGGGAAAAGAAGCUAAAGCAUAUUGAAUGGGAAUAUAGUCAUUCUAUGACAAAGGAUUGGCCGAAAAUUAGAGAAAGAGAGCUAUUUAUCAUUCGAGAAAUUACAAGGUUAAAGAAACUAAAAAGCGAUAAAAUGUCUGUCAUUAGUAGUUCAAGCAUGGAAGAUAAAAUUUUAGCAUCCGCGGAAAGUAAUAAUAAAGAUAAGAAUAUUAUUCAAAAAGAAGAAAUUGUUAGUGAAGAAGAGCAAUGGGAUAUCAAUAAUAAGUUAUUAUUAGAAAGUUAUGAGGAAGAGGAGGAAUUAAUAAAAGAAAUGUGGUUAGAAGAUGAAAGAUAUGAUGAUUCAGAACAAAAUAGUGAUUUCUAUAACUCACUAGAUGAUGUGGGAGAAUCUGAAAAAGUUCUUUGGGAACAAUGGGUAGAAUCAUACCCUAGUCAAUAUGAAGAAUUAAAAAGGGCAGGAGGUAACCCUAAUAACUUUGCGAAUGUUAUCUCAAAUAUGAUCAUAGCAGAAGAUCCUGAAUUAGGACAUACCUCAUUGCAAAAUGAAAGGUUAAGAGAAAUAGAAAAAUUAACAUUAACUAGCUGGAAAGGUAUUAAAGAGUUUUCCCAGCAUUAUUUGUAUAAUGCUACUACUGCUAAACAAGGUUUUAAUGUGGGCGUAGUAGAAAGAUAUUUUAAUAAGUUGCCUGAUCCCCUAGGGUUAAUAAUAUUUGAAGAAUAUAAAAAGGAAACGGCGGGAAACGUGGUAAACAUAUCUCAAGCUGUAACAUUUGUUUUCAAACAAUUAAGAAAGGUGUGUACUAGUAUUCAAGCCCAAAGAUCUAUGAAGAAAUCAGAUUAUAAUUUUUGCAAUAACAUAGUCCAAAUACCACUUACAUAUGGAGAAGAAAGGCAUAGGAAUCAUCUAAGUAGAACUUGCCCUAAUAAAGACCAGAAAAGAUACUCUAGCAAAUAUGAAGAACAAGAGAGGGUGUUAAUUAUAGAUAGCGUUAAUGAAAAUAUAUUAGUAUGUGAUGAUGCAAUAAAAGACGAUGAGUCAAUAUAUUCAAUUAUAGAAACAGAUGAAGUAGAAAAUGAGGCUCCAGAAUAUGAAUCAAGUGAAGAUGAAAUAGACCUAAUAGAUGAUUUAGCCGGUUUAAAAAUUGAAAUGAUGAACCAAGUAGAUUGUGAACAUGAUUGGAUUAGAGGAAAAGGUGAUUAUAACAUAAAAUGUGCUUUCUAUAUAUAUUAUCCAAGCCAAGAUAAUAGGUUUACAUGUAGCUUGUGUUUAAAACAAGCAUGUGCCUCAUGUCUAAGAGCCAAUAAUCAAAAGUGGAGACAAGAGAUAGAAUUGGAACCAGAAGAGCGAAUAUUAUCCAGUAGGGUUAGAAAUUUAGAAAAUAGAAUAAAUAAGCUAGAAGCAGAGCUAGAAAAACUUAAAGAUGAGUUAGAAAAUAGUAAAGAGGAAAAUGAUAAUGUUCCAAAAAACACAGAAAUGAAAGAGAAAAUGGUAACAGUAAGGGAUAAAAAAGGAGACAAAUUAAUACAAUUGAAAGAUGCAAUUACUAGUUUUGGAAACAAAUAUAUUGUUCGAUUACCAUUCAAAGAAGUGUUAGGAAUAAGGAUCCCAGUUAAGAUUGUUCUGAAGCCAAAUAUUUCAUAUAAAGUACUGGCACUAUUAGAUACUGGUUGCACUAAAAAUAUCAUCCAUGAUAAAUAUUUUAUGAGAUGUCCCGAAAUAGUUGAAACUAUAGAUGAUAAUAAAGCUGAAGUAUCUACCGAUAUGUCAGGAAUAAAGAAGAUCCAUAACCAGCUAGCAUAUAAUAUUGAAGCUUACAUAAAUGGCACAAAAUAUAUAAUAGAUGAAAUUACAAUAAGAGAUUUGUCAGUAAUAAAUGAUGACAUGAUAAUAGGGUUAAGAUUUUUACAACAAUCUUUACAAACCACAAUCAUACAUGAAGAGGGGGUAACAUUUAUUCCUUAUCAAGAUAAUGUUCCAUACAUAUCUGAAGUGCGAAAA
rnacentral:rRNA from 1 species